CCUACGGGAGGCAGCAGUGGGGAAUCUUGCGCAAUGGCCGAAAGGCUGACGCAGCGACGCCGCGUGCGGGAGGACGCCCUUCGGGGUGUAAACCGCUGUCAGAGGGGACGAAUGCCCUGGGGAGGCAAUGCCCUUGGGGAGGGACGGUACCCUCAGAGGAAGCACCGGCUAACUCCGUGCCAGCAGCCGCGGUAAU
rnacentral:rRNA from 1 species